CAGUGUUCAGUUGGGAGUAAACAUGCUAGUAGAUUAGCUCGCUAGCAGAAAUGCUAGCUUGGCUACCCGGGUCGCUAACGAGAUCCUCUCCUUGCAAGUCAUAGUAUUUGUUGAGUGUCUCUCAGCAUAAUCUGUACAGUUGAGUGAAUGGAGUCAAGUUGCAAUGUGGGAAACGUAGGUGCCAGGUUUUGACAAGGAAGAAGAAUGUGUGGAAUAAAAAAGACGAUAUCUCUGUGGCUACAGUGGCUUUUUAAAUUAAAGUUUAAGUCUGGAACACAACAUCUCCUGAUCUGCUUCACCAGGACUGUCAGGGAGGUCGUGUACCUGUUGUACAGCAGGAUGUCCGGCCUCCAGAUCUGGCUGUCGGGGAAUCUGACGUUGGUCACACCUGGAUAAUCCGACAUGUUCCACUGCAGGUAGUCGGGCGUACAGAGAGGAUUCAAGGAUGGGGGGAUGUAAACAAGCUGCAUAAGGGGGCAGAUUCUUUUCAAGCAGCUCUCUGCUCUGGACCAUGAUGGAAACCUGUGCUGAUGUAAGAUGCUCUCACACUGUGAUAAAAAAGAACAGAGCAGCAGCAGCAGCAGCAGCGUUUGAAGGGAGGAAACAGAGUGGAGCUCUUUUCAACCUUAACCUCACACUCACCCUCACCUGGGAGAUCGGGGCAGCCAGCCAGAAAGAAAACCUACUCGCCUGGAUAUAAAACUCACAACAAGCCCUCCAGAUUAAAACGACCAUAUGUUGUUCGACCACGCACUCCAGAGCUACCCAUGGGAGCGUUUACUAAUCAGGCGCCUCUAUCAACAGUAAUGUUUGCCACAGGAGACCACUCUUCCUUUCCAACUGCAAGUUACACAUUUCCAACCACGAGUUGGGAGAGUUUUUUAAAAUAAAUGUAACUACAAUCAUCCCCGAACCUCAACCACGUCAUUAUUAUCGUAACCACGCCAGAGAAGG